GAUGAACGCUGGCGGCGUGCCUAAUACAUGCAAGUCGAGCGAACAGACGAGGAGCUUGCUCCUCUGACGUUAGCGGCGGACGGGUGAGUAACACGUGGAUAACCUACCUAUAAGACUGGGAUAACUUCGGGAAACCGGAGCUAAUACCGGAUAAUAUAUUGAACCGCAUGGUUCAAUAGUGAAAGACGGUUUUGCUGUCACUUAUAGAUGGUUCCGGGCCGCAUUAGUUAGUUGGUAAGGUAACGGCUUACCAAGGCGACGAUGCGUAGCCGACCUGAGAGGGUGAUCGGCCACACUGGAACUGAGACACGGUCCAGACUCCUACGGGAGGCAGCAGUAGGGAAUCUUCCACAAUGGGCGAAAGCCUGACGGAGCAACGCCGCGUGAGUGAUGAAGGUCUUCGGAUCGUAAAACUCUGUUAUUAGGGAAGAACAAAUGUGUAAGUAACUAUGCACGUCUUGACGGUACCUAAUCAGAAAGCCACGGCUAACUACGUG
rnacentral:rRNA from 1 species